UACGUAGGUGGCAAGCGUUGUCCGGAUUUACUGGGCGUAAAGGGCGUGCAGGCGGUUUGUUAAGUGCAGGGUGAAAGCUCCCGGCUUAACUGGGAGAGGCCGUUCAAAACUGAGAGGCUAGAGUGAGGAAGAGGAGAGCGGAAUUCCCGGUGUAGUGGUGGAAUGCGUAGAUAUCGGGAGGAACACCAGUGGCGAAAGCGGCUCUCUGGUCCUAAACUGACGCUGAGGGGCGAAAGCGUGGGGAGCGAACGGG
rnacentral:rRNA from 1 species